GACGAACGCUGGCGGCGUGCCUAAUACAUGCAAGUCGAACGCAUUGGGGACGGGUGAGUAACCCGUGGGUAACCUCCCAUCAGAGGGGGUAACACUUGGAGACAGGUGCUAAACCGAUACUGAUGGAUGGACCCGCGGUGCAUGAGCUAGUUGGGGAGGUAACGGCUCACCAAGGCGACGAUGCAUAGCCGAACGGCGAGGCGGAUCGCCCACACGGGGAGUGAGACAGGGCCCAGACUCCUACGGCAGGCAGCAGUCGGGAAUCUGAGGCAAUGGACGGGAGUCUGACCCAGCCACGCCGCGUGAGUGAACAAUGUUUCCGGUUCGUAAAGAUCGCUUGUUGGAGGAGCGGUAUCGACCCAGAAAGCCCCGGCUAACUACGUGCCAGCAGCCGCGGUAAUUC
rnacentral:rRNA from 1 species